rnacentral:tRNA from 3 species
GCGAAUAUAAGUUAAUGGUAGACUCAAUGAUUUCCAAUCAUAAAGUAUCUGUUCGAGUCAGAUUAUUCGUA